CCGAUUUUUAGGGCAGUAAGUCCUCUUCCCUACCCGGUCUCGUGUCAAGAAGUCGUUCUAGAGGUCGAAAGGGCAAGAACAUUCGAAAAUUGCCCUCACACUUAAGCAGGCCAGGGGAAACAGGAGCUAACAGGCAUUGCCAGGGGCAGAAAAAUGGGUAAAGGCGAUAAACAUAAGCGUGGUCGCAGUGAUAGUGAAACACACCAACACUGAGCACAGAGCUGAGACAACACUACACAAAUAAACAUUUAGGAAACAUGUCGCUUCGAAGAGCAAACGAACGCCCGCCGACCCGUUCCACCAAUCUAGUGGGAAAGUUCACUCAAAGUGUGCGCCGGAUUGUGCAAGAUGUGAAAGACGAAGGAACCACUAGCGGGGCCACCAAGGAGGAAGUGAUCGAAACGAAUGAGCGACUUCGAGCGGUCCGAGUCCGGAUGGAUGAGUCUUACGAUACGGCCAAAAAGGCUUUGGUCGGGUUGAUGACCAAGUACAAUGAGAGCAAGAAUGUGCAUAACGUUUUCCAGAGAUAUACGCUACUGAAGAGCAUGAUAAAGGAUGUUACCCGGUUGGAGACGCAGUACUGGACUUUGGUCGAUAUUCCCAAGCAGGAGAAGCAGGAAACCGUGCCCGCUUUUGUGCUCCGGGCCUGUUCCAUCAUGGAAAAGACGCAAAAAUCGGGCGAAGGCGUGAAAACAUCCACACGACUGGCGGAAGAAGCGGUCGAGAAGAAAGAGCGCAUUGAACGUCUUGAGAACAUGACGACAUCGCAAAUUGAUGGGGAAAACACGCAAAUGACCAACGAUCUCUACAGACUCCUGAAGAAGUAUUCUGGAUUGAGGAACCUGAUUCGCCAACUAAAGACUGAAUAUACGAAUGCCAAGAUCUACCCGAUGGUCAUCCGGUACUCCAUGCUGAAGGACAUGAUCAAAGACAUCAUGCUGCAUCCUGACUACAUGGAAGUUUGCCAUGAAGUCGAUGUAUAGCCGAAAUCAUUUUCCUAGGGGACGCCAAAACGAAGGCAAAGCUGCCGAUACUAGAUCGUUUUUUCUGGUAAACUGGAAGCUUCAACCUUCGCCACUGGACCUUAGGAAGACUCAAAGCCAACAACCGGCUUGGAUAGACAAUAUAGAUUGUCUAGGCAGCAGGAAGAAUACGGACAGCUCGGAAUUUGUUCUGCUUUUGAAGAGGGGAAGCUUUUUAAACACACAGAGGGUUGCAGCAUGUGUGGGCAAAAUAAUAAAAGUCCGCUUGUUCAAGUAAGCAACCAGCAGAUGUAAUUUCUGCUAAUCUGCUGGGUUUCUAUCUGUGUUCUGUAACGAUUUUUGCCUGUUCUAAGGCGAUAAUAUUUGAAUUGAAGCUGAUGAUCGGGAUUUGUUUUGCGAAAAUCUUCCCCCAAGUUUGAAGAUACCGGUGAAUGUGCGCUUUUGUAUAUAAAAAACUACCGUGUUGAAUCCAUGUCUUUUUAUAAGUAACUUGUGCCAUUUAUGAGGAAUAUUAUCGUGUAGGUAGCGGGAAUAAAAUCCAUAUCCAGUUGGGACGAUUCAUGCUCCUCACAAAAAUCAAAACUUCUAUCGCGACCUUAUUUUUGAAAAGCGUUUUUUCGUCGGUUCAAUUAGUUAAUCAGAUCAAAACUUUGUGAUAUAUUUUAUAGUAACACUUUGUGAUACUCCUUUGUACAUGAUCCGACCCUUAUUAGUGGUAAAGAAGUCUUUAGUGAGGUUGUUAAAGUUGAAUCCACCUUGCAAAUUUCCUUUGCGGUCACAUUAAACAUGUCGAAGUGAAACUCCAAUCCCUCACUAUUUCACCGAAUUUCCCGACGUUUUGUACAGAUACUUUGAACCUGAAUCUUUUAUAAAACCAUUUAUUUAGCACUACGACUGUUGCGCAGUCAAUGUACAUGUUUAAAUGGCACACUUUAUCCCUUCUAAAUGUUAGCUAUAAGUAAUAUUACUGUUUCCAUAUAAGGUUAGGCACUGUUAUUUAACACACAAUUGUUGUAUAUUUGUUAAAAUGACGAAAACGGGAAUUGGUGUGGAUGCUUAAAAAACGAUCGUUUGGGCCUCCAUUGGCUUGCACUUUGGAGAAGUUUGCAAGGCAAUGGAAGUCCGCAAAUAAUCGACUCCAUUUCAACGAUUGAUUUUAAGAAUCUGCAAUUAUUCCCAAAGCUCAUGAUGAGAGCGAUGGACGAGGUUCUGGUAAAUUGCUAUGGCAUAUAUUAUGUCGCCCUUAAAGAAUGCUUCUUUGCUAGAAGACUGGUUUAGACAUGACUGGAAACUUUUGCAGUAUUAACCCUAGUGGAGGAAAAACUCGCAACACUGCCAUAAGGAAUACGUGCGCAAUUUCGAGGAUGUUUGAGCAACAUUGCCAUGUUUAGGCAAAAGCAGAAAAAUGAGAAAAAUCCAUGGUUCCAUUUUCACAUACACAUUGUUCAAUAAACAUCCCAGUUGCACACCGUUGAUCCACGUAAAGGGAAUUAUGGUACCCAAUUGUUUACUAGGUAGCAAUAAGCGCAUAAUAAUCAUACUGUUAGAGGAUAGUGGUAAGUACGACUUAACACCAAUAUUUUUAAAGAACUAACGGACGAAUGUGGCGUAAUUUCCCAAGAUAAAUCGGUCAAUUUUCGUUGAAUAAGUGUACAGAAUGGUGUGUGGAGCUGGGAAAUUUCCAUAAAAGCGACGCCUGCAGAGAAUGGGGAAUAUGCCCGCCGACUACAGCAGGAAGUCAACGAGGUACCGUUAUCAGCCAUUCUAGCGAUAAGGCGAUAACAGUACCGUGUUCACUGCACUCUGUUCCUGUUCACCUAAUAAAAUUUGUUCAACAUUGAAUUGCACAAAUCACGUUGAUAAUUAGUUCCAAUCAAUAAUAACAAUAACAAUUUUAAUAAUAUUAAUUAAUUAACUGGAUGGACUCUUUGGUUGGUGUCGGUUAAAAGAGAGCUUGAUUACAAUCGUGUUGCUGAGGGACUGAGGGAAUUUUUGCCGCAGUACUUUUGGUAGCCUAAAGCCUUAGAGCGUGUUUAGUUCUCGGACUAUUAAGAACGGUUUUCUGGUGUCAUUGAGUUGCCCAAAAUUGUUGCUAAUUCCACUGCGACAUUCGUCGAUUUGCGCUAAACCUCGACUUUCCUCUGGGCGCCUGGUAGAAUUUGUUUAAUUCGGAUUUGGUAACUUUAAGACGAGGUCGAAUUAACCGCGGAGGAUUUUUUAAAACAAUCAUCCUUCUGACGAUUAUAUUUGUUGAAUGAGUUCAGUGCAUUCGCUAGUUUUCGUGAUUGAGUUUUUCACAAUUUAAGGGCCUUUGAAGUGGAGAUGGAGCCCCUCCCUACCUUUCUUUAGCCGAUUUAACUGAAUUUUUUUGCGAUUUCUCGAAAAAUCCGGUCCAAUCCACCAAAAACACUGCAGGACUUUCAAGCACAAUAAAACCGAUCUGAGGCUUGAAUCUGAAAACCCAAAUUUAACGGAAAAACGUCUUAAAACUGAACACAAAACGAACUUCUGAAAUAGAGACAGGCCUAACAGAGCGGUAUAAGAGCAGAGACAGUCAAUUAAUUUAAUUGCGGACAAUUAAACUGAGUUGGUUCAGUUUAAUAUUAACAAAUCCGACCAGGAGACCAGCAAAGCGACGAGGAUUAGCAAUAUUAGCUGUAAAUGUGCGUUAGAAAGUACUUAGACCGCGUUAAGUGGGCAUGAUUGGAUCACAAGUCACCCAUUUAGUACACAAGUCGAUGACCAAAGUGAUCCAAACUGGCUCAACUGAGGGCUUUUUAUGGAAGUUUCGCAGUCAGCAGUUUGUUGCCCAUUUAUCCAUAGAUAUAACAUAAUGUAGCUGAUGAAGAGAUACCAGGCAAGGCAUUUGAGCGCUCUCGACCAAAGUCUGCAAUAAACAAAAAAUCAGUAAUAAUCAAAUGCUUGCGCCUUGAUAGCUCCAAUUUAUUCUAAAUGGAUACAGGGUUCGUUGCAAGUUAGCACCAUUUAUUUAAUUGAAAUUAAGUUUUGCACCUUCUGUACCUCCGUUUUGACUUUUUAACACACACUUAGCACUUUUUAUACGGUUUCUUUCCCAUAGGGCCCACUAAGAGGGCGUUUGCAUAUUAAAUCGACUAGGACAUAUCUUGUUACAUAUUAUCUAGCACACUUGCAACCAAAUGAAAAUGUACUUAACAUUAGUGGGAAAUUAGGAACCUUUGGCUUUGCAGCGUGCGGGGAAAGUUUCCUAAAAUCGCCUACUGUUGGUUAUAAUUGAUGUACCUACCUUGAAGAUGCUGAAUGGGAACAAAAUCGAAACCAUCAUAUUUAUGUACUUGUGACAAAUGAAAAGCGCUCGUAUAUUUUUAACCGCGGGCCCAGAUAUAUUUUUAUCUGUUACUUUCCAAAAAAAACUAAGCUAAGCCUCGUAUAGAGAAAUGAUGUAUUAUUAUAAUAAACUGUUGCUUAUAAAAUAAAUUGAAAUUGUGUAUACAAGAAAAUGCGGGUUUUGUAUUUAAUUCCA